GUUGACUCACGAUGUGAUGACGCGUUGAAUCCCUCGUGGCCGGAGGAACUCUGAACAUCUCCUGGUAGCUCAGAGCACUAUCCGGUUUUCUGUCCGAUGUCACCAAUCUUCCUUGAACCGCGGAUGUGCAGCCUCCAUAAACACUCUGCCUUUGUCGUCAUCUGAUUUAGCCAACGACACAGAGCGAUCCAGCAGACACAGGCCGAGUUGUCCACUCGAACUCACAGUGAGGACCAUCAGAAAGAAUCAGGCUUUCUCCUGCACUUACAUCCUCUUCCUCAACACUUUGAAAGUCCCUUUCAUCUGGACUUGAGUGCCCCAUAUCAUCAUGAAGAGACCUUAUUACUGCCUCUCGGAAUUCUCCCGGCAACACCAUCUGGUAAGUUUCUGCCCCAGCCAGAUUCUUGCUACAUCUAUGAAGCAGCCCAUCCUUCAGUAUCAACCGUGCCAUCUCACGCUUCAUUAAUCCUAACUUAGAAUUGCUGUCUACCCCAACAGGCCACUUCCCCUUUUCCAAAGCAGACAUCACAGCACCUAGGGUAGUAUCAUCCUUCUGAGAUUUGACCAUUUCAGCAUGUGACUUCUGCUCCAGAUAAGGACAACUAAGGUGAGUGGGAAAUGCAAAUGCAUCAGGAAUACAUUCAGAUGAAGGACAUAACUGCUCUACAUACCUAGUUGAACUAUCAGGGAAGGUAUCCGCACAGACCCUCUGGCAUAUGGAUCUGACUCCGGUCUCUGAUAUGCACUGCCAGUUCUCUCCAUCUCCAAACCCACGGCGGGACAAUAAAUCAGCAUCAACAUUUGUCUUUCCAGGUCGAUACUGAAUAUCAAAAUCGUACGUGGCCAAAGACGCCAACCAACGAUGCCCAGUGGCAUUCAGCUUCGCUGUGGUCAGAACAUAUGUGAGCGGAUUAUUGUCGGUGCGGACCGUGAAUUUAGCCCCAUAGAGGUAGUCAUGGAAUUUAUCCACGACUGCCCACUUCAAGGCCAAAAACUCCAGUUGAUGAAUGGGAUACUUUUGUUCAGCGUUACUUAGCUUUCUACUGGCAAAGGCCACAGGCCGUAAACCAGUAGAAUGCUCCUGAUACAAAACCGCGCCUAACCCUUGCAAACACGCAUCAACAUGCAAGAUAUACUGCUUAUUGGGAUCUGCA
ensembl:lncRNA